rfam:Triticum aestivum genome assembly, contig: Triticum_aestivum_CS42_TGACv1_scaffold_155858_2BS
UUACUACUCCCUCCGUCCCAAAAUUCUUGUCUUAGAUUUGUCUCGAUACGGAUGUAUCUAACACUAAAAUAUAACUAGAUACAUCCAUAUUUGAACAGAUCUAAGACAAGAAUUUUGAGAUGGAGGGAGUACAUC